rnacentral:rRNA from 1 species
UACGGGGGGGGCAAGCGUUGUUCGGAAUUACUGGGCGUAAAGGGCUCGUAGGCGGUCAACUAAGUCAGACGUGAAAUCCCUCGGCUUAACCGGGGAACUGCGUCUGAUACUGGAUGGCUUGAGGUUGGGAGAGGGAUGCGGAAUUCCAGGUGUAGCGGUGAAAUGCGUAGAUAUCUGGAGGAACACCGGUGGCGAAGGCAGGUCUCUGGGCUGACACUGACGCUCAUGCACGAAAGCGUGGGGAGCAAACAGG